UGAAAAUUCACCAAUGGUGUCAUUGUAUUUGUAAAUUGUAAUUGUCCAAAGCUUCUGCAGAGGGAAGAAUUUCAACUUCAAGGGCCAGGAACUAGAGAGGAACGAAAUUGCAAAUGGUAGAAACACACAGUAUCAACGUUAACAAGCCUCUUUAAUUAUUACAAACGCAACUUCGAAAAGGAACAAAUAAACCCAAUGAACACAGCACACAAUUACACAAGCUUUCAUGCUUUAGAUUAUCUUGAUGCAAUCCAAAAACUGUGUGAAAGUGAAGACUAGGAGUGCAAUUGCAGCAACUGUUCCAGUGCCUCUCCACAAGUUGCUGAAAUACACACUUCUCAGGAUCGCCAUCGUUCGACAGAGUGGAUUCUCGCAGUGCUUAUUCAACGCCUCACUCAGAUCGUAAAAACAAGACCCAAAUACCAUAAUUUCUAAACAAAGAUUAUUGACCAACUCGGCCACUGUUUUGUUGUCUCCUAGCAAGUUCACAAUGAUUUCCUUACGAACAAGCAAAUCCACGUCCUUCUCUGUGUUGAUCAGAAAAUCAAGUAUCCAUAUGUAAUCGCAUAUUAAAGGCUGGUCCGGAUAGUGACACUGCUCGAAAGCCAUCAGGUUUCUAAUAACAAGCUCGGUGCUAUCAUCCGCAUCGAAUAUUGGCAUCUUCAACUCUCCCCUUUUAAAUUUUAUGUCAAUUGAGCAUGCAUUUUCACUCGCCUUAAAAUUCACUCCUGCUUCAUGCAGCCUAGUGGCAUCGUAUAGCUUCUUCACUAACUUAUUAUUCUUCGACUCUGGAUGGCAGUAGGAUCGAUAUUUUCGAAACAAGUCAGUGAAGUGUAAGGGUUUCUCCUGAAGGGGUUUCUCCGGAAGGGGUUUCUUCUCAAGGAGUUUCUCCGGAAGGUCUUCUUCUUUGUUUUUAUUGUCUUUUCCUACGCUUCCAUCCUUGUGCCUCUGACAGGUGAAGAGUCUAAUAAUCCAGAAAUAGAGCAAACAAGAGAAGCAAUCGCAGGUACACUUUUGAUUUUCAUUUUUUUCUCUUUCUAGAGAAGAUUUGUUCUUCUUUAACUGAAAGUGAAAGUUAAAGAGCACAAGGUCAUGGAAAGAAUGAUGUUGUUCUUCACUAGAUUUGGGGAAAGAGAAUUCAUAUAAAUCAUCAAGAACAAAGUAGGGCAGCUGAUUUUCAACCAAUAUUAAAUCCCAUAAUAAACCAUAUUCCCUUGUUGAUUUUCCAAGGAUAAAAUCAUCAUUGUAAUUUCUAGGCACUUGUUUUUCAACGAAAUUAUAUUUUUCUGCUCUUCUUAAGAAGAGCUCGAUGAUGAACACAGAAUCCAGGAGAAUCAUCUUGAGGAACUUGUCAGUGCUUUCCUCAAAUGUCUCUUCAUAACAAUGGCGUACCUUCUCCUCUUUAAUUUGUUUGGCAAGCUCAGUCGAAUCCUUCCCUGUCCUUGCACAGAACUCUGCCAAGUAUCGCAAUUUCUGCUUCUCCAUAGGCUUUAAUGCUUUGUUGUUGC
rnacentral:misc_RNA from 1 species